CAGGCACCAGGGAUCAAACCACCCCUCACCCUCCAGUCCUAUGAACAGAAAAAGGACACAUGAACAAAGACCAGGAUACUCCUCUGAUGCUAUAUUUCCUGUACCCCUGCCCAACUUUUCCUCAGGUUAAAGGAGGGAUCGCCCCACCCCCAGAGCUCCCUGCACAUACAUUGAUGUUUCGGAGAAAGUCAGCUGAAAAGAGUGAGAGCUGGAUGUUCUCAGGCAAUGAGUACUGCUGCCGGAUUCCGCCCAAGGAUAGCCCAGUGGAGGCGCAGGAGUACUGUGGAGACAGGAGAAGGGGGCGAGGCCAGCUCCGUCACAUGCGGCACUAUAUAUUGUGAGGUACGUGGGACACAUGCCAAGAUUAAGGGGGGCUCUACUUGUUUUUUGUUUUAUUUUUUCCUUUAUUGGGGGAUUAAUGCUGCAUAGUCGACGAUAAAUACAAUGGUUUGUA